AUUUGUUAGAUUAAUCCAUUCAUGAUAACAUACAUACUCAUUCCGUUUCUCAGCAUUUCUUUUAACCUUCACUUAUUGGUGUCAAAUUGAUUAUGUCCAUUGAUGAAAGCAUACUUAUUCUUUUCAAUUUCAUGAGCUGGAAUUCUGAUAAUACAUGGAGCAGUUCUUGUUUUUAGGUCUUUGUAAAAGUUGGAAAUAGAUUUUGUUAAUUUGGGCUGCAGGGUCAUAAUUCCAAUGUUUAUUUGAGUGAAUUUAUUGUGAGAAAGUGGAGUUGGGUUGCACAAGGAUGAGAUGAGACAUUGGGUGGGAGAAGGUUUUGUGGAUUUUUGUUUUCAUGUUUGGGCUGGAAGGUCAAUUUUACUGGUCCAUGAAGUUAUGUGAUCCCCAGUUUUACUAGUGGAAGCAAAGCUAAACUUUCUUGUAAAGUUUUAGACAGCACUGAAGGAAGGUGUUGAUGAUUCUAAUAUAUUUAUAUAUCAUUUUUGACUUUUGAAGGUUGCUAACACAUUUAAAAUUUUUCAGCUAACUCAUGAAGCUUGCAAGAAGAUUCCAUCUUGGAAAAUAACCAACUCAAUGACAACUGACGCCAAGGAGAUAAAAGAAGCAACAAAACCAACAUAAAUUUGAAGGCAUAAAUACACUAUGACAAUGGCUCUACUUGACUAUGCAAAGAUAUGGAGACAACACUAAAAUUCCUACCUGCCCUCUUCGAAGCUUCUCCAAGGGAAUUCCAACCAUGCCAUCUUGGUUUAAGCAUCCUACAUAAACUUGUGUCUUGGUCCUAGUGGUAGAGAGGCUUCCGGUUCAAAGUGGUUGGCCUACGUCCUCAUCUCCAUUUGGAAAGGAUCAUGACCUAGAAGAAGGAACAUGUUCACCAUUACAAGAAAAGAGUUCCCACAAAAUUGAAGGACAAGGUCAAGGAUUUGAGACAUACUCUCAGCAUGAAGAAACAUAAUCAGGAUGUUAGCACCACACCCAUCUUGGGAUGUCAGGUUGGAUGAUGAUAAAGUUGAAGAAGAUGCUGUUUUCUUUGGAGCCCCAACAUUGAAUCAAAGCUGGCUCCUGAGGGGUUCAAGGAAAACCACCAGACAUAAUCCAAGAGCAAUACAUAAGAAUUUCGGGAAGCAUGUUUUGUCAAUCACUAUC